UACGAUGCGGAAGCUCCGCAAUUGCGGAUGCGGAUGCGAAUAUCCGCAACAUCACUAGUUCAGAUAUGCCCUGCGUAUCAUUCCUUGGGAAAUAGCAGCAAUCUCUUGGCUGAUGAUCCGCUUCAACUAUGGUAGUGUUCGAGAUUUGUGGGGGGGAAACUUUUGUCUUUAAGUAAUCUUACAAGAAAUAGUUACAUAUAGACAGAUCUGGAGAACGAACAGGCCUUGGAACAUCACCUCCCUUUUCAUGUAAUAGCCCAGCGAAUAAACAGCACACCACACUAUUACACGAAAAGGGAAAGAAUGUUCUUAGCCCAGACCCGGGUUUCCCAGGUCCGGUAUCUCCAGAAAAAUUUUUUCUGGGUUCCGGGCUCGGAUGGCGAUUUCGGUCCUUCAUCAUCCGAUCCCUCCACGGGUGUGGGUACAGUCCGUGAUUGGAACUGGCCCUGCCUCUUAGUAAUCUCACUGAUUAGAAAGGGGCAUAAAAUAACAAAAAAAAAAAAAAACAAAUAAAACCUAUA
rnacentral:lncRNA from 1 species